rnacentral:rRNA from 1 species
UAGGGAAUCUUCCACAAUGAACGAAAGUCUGAUGGAGCAACGCCGCGUGAGUGAAGAAGGAUUUCGGUUCGUAAAACUCUGUUGUAAGGGAAGAACAAGUACAGUAGUAACUGGCUGUACCUUGACGGUACCUUAUUAGAAAGCCACGGCUAACUACGUGCCAGCAGCCGCGGUAAUACGUAGGUGGCAAGCGUUGUCCGGAAUUAUUGGGCGUAAAGCGCGCGCAGGCGGUCCUUUAAGUCUGAUGUGAAAGCCCACGGCUCAACCGUGGAGGGUCAUUGGAAACUGGGGGACUUGAGUGCAGAAGAGGAAAGUGGAAUUCCAAGUGUAGCGGUGAAAUGCGUAGAGAUUUGGAGGAACACCAGUGGCGAAGGCGACUUUCUGGUCUGUAACUGACGCUGAGGCGCGAAAGCGUGGGGAGCAAACAGG